rnacentral:rRNA from 1 species
UUGGAGGGCAAGUCUGGUGCCAGCAGCCGCGGUAAUUCCAGCUCCAAUAGCGUAUAUUAAAGUUGUUGCAGUUAAAAAGCUCGUAGUUGAAUUUCGGGAUCAAUACGUCGGUCGUGCCUCGGUACGUACUAACGUCAUUGAUUUCUCCCUUCUGACGAGCCGUGAUGUCAUUAAUUUGGUGUUACGGGGAGUCAGGACUGUUACUUUGAAAAAAUUAGAGUGUUUAAAGCAGGC